rnacentral:lncRNA from 7 species
GGCUCUGUGGCUUGUGAACCACUGCUACUUAUUCAUACUGCAAGGGACCAGCACUGCCAGCUCAACUGGAAAAUGGAGCUGAAUACCGGCUGCCUACUUUCUGAUCUGGGAUUCACACUGGAGUUGAACUAAGGUCAGAAUCUGACCCUGAUUUGAACAAAAUCUGGAGUCAAAUAUUCACACCAGAAUGCUUCUGCCUUGCUGCAUGUCAGAUGCCAUCUUCCUGCAAAUGUGUCACACACCUUGGAGUGCAGCUUGUGGAACUGAUGAGGUGAAGAGCACCGCGGAGCAGCUCUGUGCUGGUAAUCACAGGACUGAAGAAACACAUACAUCAUCUGCCACAUAGGUUGGCAUUUCAAAUUGUUCCUGAGCAGUCACUCACGCUGAGGCAGCCGCCUGCACAGCGCUCCCAGAGGGCUUCAUCUGGCUCCGACAUGGGAUCGGACUACGGCUUGGGAUCACAUGGAAACCCACCCAGACUGUGGGAUCGCCUCGGAGGGUGCUCCCUGCCUCCAUGUCAGAGACACUGUGCUUACAGGCAGCAAUCUAGGUGCUGGGGAGUGACGUCUGUGUGAUAUAUGGCUGCUGGCAAAAUUAUCCUGUCCGUGGGCUAUUGCUGGCUCUAAUUAAAGGAAGACACAGGCUACUGAGUUGGGGUCCCUUCCAUUGAAGGUGAGAGGACAGCAAUCUCCAAGAGAGCUGCAAAGGAGGACAGAUUCAUUUGACUGAUUGCAUGAUGUCUGAAUUAAUGGUCAGGAAAAGGGCCAUUAUUGUGCUCUUACUGGUAGGCUGCUUCUGGGAGCUUUUGCUGUGCUGUCUGCUUGAACGUGGAAGUAAAGCAAUGCAUUCCUUG